CUGAGCGAAAUCUGAACAUCCUCGUCUCUCUGCUUCCCUCCUAGGGGCCGGCACUAGUUUGCAGUGCAAGCCUGCAGAGUCUGGUGUCUCUGUAUGCAGCCAGGGAAUAUGAACGGAGGAGGCAGGACGGCGUCUCUCCUGCAGGCAAUUUGACUCUACCGUGUGACUUACCGGGGUGUGCAGGCAGAGGGGGGCUGCGUCAGGUCACGAGCCGCCAGUCCGCUGUCCGUGCACAUCGUGUUUCGUGGGAUCUCUCAUGACAUUCCACGCCCAGUGUUGCAAAGAAGACGUUUAGCUUUCUGGAAACUUUAACUGCAGCCCAGGUGUCCCGACUGUCGUCCACACCUUCUGCUGGACUGGGGCUACACUGAGAUGUGGUGCGACAGUGGGGUAGCCAUGACAUUCUCCUGCUCACUCUGUUGACCUGCUGUCUGGCUCCCGUACCCCUGCCUGAGCACUGCUGUCCCCACCCUGCGGCAUUUCGGGAGCUGGGCAUGGUUCAUCUAGGGCACCGGCUGCUGGCAGCUUGCCUAGGGCUGCCCCUGUUUGAGAGGGAGGCUGCGGUUGCCAGAGGAGUUUUCCUGGGAGCAGGUUGUGGCUCUGCUCGCUGGCUGGUGUGUGGAGUGUAAA